UAUUUCGCGCGAAACCAAUAAAAAACCCCUCCAAAAUUUUCAUUUCCCUCCAUACAAGUCUCUCUCUCUUCACUUUCAGCCCUGAACCCCGAAUUGGGCUUAUGGUUCAUUUUUUCUCAUUAGCACAAAAUUGAAGGAGAAGAAAAAGAAGGAGUUGAACCCGAACCUUCUAAUGCGGCUGAGUUCUCUCGUCGACGACGUUGGGCUCAUUUUCUCUCAAGCUCCUGCCUCGGAUCCCCUCUUCUCUCAAGCUCCCUCCCUCAGAUCGGUGGGUAACAGAUUUCUUACUCUCCAAACCCAUUUCAAGGUUUGCUUUUUUUUUUUUAUUUUAUUUUACCGCCUAUCUCACUUGUUUAUAUGUACAUUUGUGUGUGUUUUUUUUUUAUUUCUAACACGGUAGGCUCCCUCUUUCUCACAUUCUCUAUUACUCUCUCUCUCUCUAUGUAUGUAUAUGUAUUUUAUUUUAAUUUCUGUUUUGUUUUACUGAUUUUUUUUAUUUGGUGAAAAGUCUCUCAAUCAAGUUGUUAUAUAAGUAUAUAUAUUUAUUUUAUAUACAUAUUUCAAUUUUCUUCUCUACUAAUUUUGUGCUCUGUUUUGUGUGUGUGAAAGGGAAAGACUUUAUGGGUUUGUUGUGUGCUCACCUUAGGUCUCUUUCUGCAUCCUAAAUAUUGUGAUAUCUAUGUGUUUUUUUAAUUUUUGUUUUGAUUUAUAUUGUUUUUUUAGAAUGUAUGUGUGUACAUUAUUUGUGGUUUGAGAUUUCUCAAAUAAUUUGAUGGUGAACAUGGUUAUGGAGGAUUAACGGUUGACCUUUACUAUGGUGGUUUUGGAAGUGAUCAUGGUUAUUGGGUCAAGAUUGUGGAAGAGGUCGUCACUAUCAGAGGCUUGGUUAUGAAAAGAAGAAAGUGCCAGAAUUGAAGCAGUGGAUUGAAGAAUUGGAAAAUGAAUUGAGGGAUGCGUGGAUUAAGAAAUGGAAGAUGAUCAUUACAUAACAGCUCCUAACACUCCUGAAUUUCAGCCUUCGCCUCAUUUACUCAACAAAGGUAUAUAUAGCUACUUGUCAAUUUUAUUAAUUUGGUUCUCUCUGUUCUUAUUAAUCUUAUAAACUAUCGUAUUAUUAUAUAUAUAUAUAAUACAUCAACAAGCAGUUGGUGUGGGGCAAAUUAAAUUUAAUACACUCAUGUAAAUUAAAUAGACACGUGUGGCACAACAAGACUAUAUGAUACACAUAUUAGAAACACAUAACACAAAGGACAUUUAUUGUUAGUGUAUUCAUAUGAAUAGUUUUUAUGAGAGGUGGUAGUGUGAAAUUUAUUGUUUUGUUUCAUUGAAGAUCAAUUAGAAUUUUGGUGAAUAUUCAUAUGAAUAGUUUUUAUGAUUAUUGCUGAACAUUUUGAUGAUACAUUUUGAUGAUUAUUUCGAUAUUGAUGGAGAGAUAUACAAUUUUUUUUACUGCUUAAUAAUAUUAAGUGGAAGUUGUUUGGCUUUUGAUGAUGGAAUAUGCUAGAAUUUUUUAUGAAGUAUGUGUUUUUCAACUUUUAAUGGUGUCUUUUGUAAUUGCACAAGAACCUUAUAUAUUUAUGCCAACUUUUGAUAUUUGAGGGUGCUAAAUAAAUCUUCUAACAGUUGAUUCUAAAUGCCAUUAAUUUUUUUUUUUUGGAAGUUUACUUUUAAUUAUUGAAGAGUUGUAUGGUUGAUGUUUAUAACUACACCACAGAAACUACUUUCGGCUAUUCUCUUGCAUUUUACUAUGGCUUGACUAAGUUGAAGUAUCUUCUCACAUACAAAGUAAAGUACUUGAAUUAGUUAUUGAGUUGAUAUAAAUUUAUGUGGGGUUUAAUUAUUUAUUAUAUAUUUAUACCUUAUUCUGAGUUUAAGCUGCUGAAGAGGUUGGCAUAGACUUACACUUAGUUGUUUCAGAUAGAAAAGUGUUAUGGUUUAUGUGUGGUUUGUUUGGUAUAUUUAUGCUACAUUCAUUUCAUACUGAUAUAUUAUUGUAUAAUUUUCAUUCUGCAUUUCCAUCAGUGAGGCAUGAGUGUGAAGGAGGUUUUUAGCUUCUCUUCUCAAUGUUAGUGGUGUGAGUGGUGAUGAACUCUGUUGAUUCUAUUUCAACUCAAGAAAGAAGGAACCAAAAUAUAUAAGCUUGUCUUGUUUGUUGUAUUCAAA